rnacentral:rRNA from 1 species
AUUGAACGCUGGCGGCAGGCCUAACACAUGCAAGUCGAACGAAGCCUUCGGGCUUAGUGGCGGACGGGUGAGUAACACGUGGGAACGUACCUUUUGGUUCGGAACAACUCAGGGAAACUUGAGCUAAUACCGGAUGAGCCCUUAGGGGGAAAGAUUUAUCGCCGAAAGAGCGGCCCGCGUUAGAUUAGCUAGUUGGUGAGGUAAAGGCUCACCAAGGCUACGAUCUAUAGCUGGUCUGAGAGGAUGAUCAGCCACACUGGGACUGAGACACGGCCCAGACUCCUACGGGGGGCAGCAGUGGGGAAUAUUGCGCAAUGGGCGAAAGCCUGACGCAGCCAUGCCGCGUGAAUGAUGAAGGUCUUAGGAUUGUAAAAUUCUUUUACCAGGGACGAUAAUGACGGUACCUGGAGAAAAAGCCCCGGCUAACUUCGUGCCAGCAGCCGCCGUAAGAC